GCAGGGCGCAGUGGCGCACGCCUGUCAUCCCAGGAGCUCAGGAGGCUGAGGCAGGAGGAUCGCAAGUUCAAAUCCAGCCUCAGCAACUUAGCAAGGCCCUAAGCAACUCAGUGAGACCCUGUCUCUA
rnacentral:sRNA from 1 species